rnacentral:rRNA from 1 species
AGAGUGAACGCUGGCGGUAGGCCUAACACAUGCAAGUCGAACGGCAGCACAGUAGGAGCUUGCUCUUACGGGUGGCGAGUGGCGGACGGGUGAGGAAUACAUCGGAAUCUACCUUUUGGUGGGGGAUAACGUAGGGAAACUUACGCUAAUACCGCAUACGCCCUUCGGGGGAAAGCCGGGGACCAGCAAUGGCCUGGCGCUGAUAGAUGAGCCGAUGUCGGAUUAGCUAGUUGGUGAGGUAAUGGCUCACCAAGGCGACGAUCCGUAGCUGGUCUGAGAGGAUGAUCAGCCACACUGGAACUGAGACACGGUCCAGACUCCUACGGGAGGCAGCAGUGGGGAAUAUUGGACAAUGGGCGCAAGCCUGAUCCAGCCAUACCGCGUGGUGAAGAAGGCCUUCGGUUGUAAAGCCUUUGUUAGGAAGAAAGCAUUCGUUAAGUACCGGUGUUCUGACGUACCAAAGAAUAAGCACCGCUAACUCGCGCAGCACGCGCGUAA